GUGCUCACUUUGGCAGCACAUAAACUAAAUUUGAAAUAAUACAAGGAAGAUCAGCAUGGCCCCUGUGCAAGGAGGACAUGCAAAUUCAUAAAGCAUUCCAUAUUGUU